rnacentral:rRNA from 1 species
GAUGAACGCUGGCGGCGUGCUUAACACAUGCAAGUCGAACAGAAAGGCCGAAGCUUGCUUCGGUACUCGAGUGGCGAACGGGUGAGUAACACGUGGGUGAUCUGCCCUGUACUUCGGGAUGAGCUUGGGAAACUGGGUCUAAUACCGGAUAUGACGAUCUCUUGGAUGGGGUUGUGGAAAGCUUUUGCGGUAUGGGAUGAGCUCGCGGCCUAUCAGCUUGUUGGUGGGGUAAUGGCCUACCAAGGCGUCGACGGGUAGCCGGCCUGAGAGGGUGUACGGCCACAUUGGGACUGAGAUACGGCCCAGACUCCUACGGGAGGCAGCAGUGGGGAAUAUUGCACAAUGGGCGCAAGCCUGAUGCAGCGACGCCGCGUGGGGGAUGACGGCCUUCGGGUUGUAAACUCCUUUCGCAAUCGACGAAGCCUUUUGGUGACGGUAGGUUGAGAAGAAGCACCGGCUAACUACGUG